GCUACUGCAGUCGAGCGGACAGAAGGGAGCUUGCUCCCGGAUGUUACCGGCGGACGCGGUGAGUAACACGUGGGUAACCUGCCUGUAGACUGGGAUAACUCCGGGAAACCGGAGCUAAUACCGGAUAGUUCCUUGAACCGCAUGGUUCAAGGAUGAAAGACGGUUUCGGCUGUCACUUACAGAUGGACCCGCGGCGCAUUACCUAGUUGGUGGGGUAAUGUGUCACCAAGGCGACGAUGCGUUGCCGACCUGAGAGGGUGACGCGCCCAACUGGCACUGACCCACGUCCAACUCUUC
rnacentral:rRNA from 1 species